AUGAAGAACUUGAAAGACGCGAAAACUACAAUAUAUCCCUCAACUACGAGGGAAGGUAAGGAACUGCCAUCUAGCUCUGCACUAGAUUCUCCUUCUGUUUUGAGUAAGCUUGCGACACCUAAACCUGCUACUGUUAUGAACUCUGAUAUGUCGCAUGUUAUUGAUGAUGCCACUUCUGUUAUGCAUGAUACUUAUGAUGAAACUACUUCUGUGCGUGAUAUUACUUUGCCAUUAGGUGAAUUUCUUGAUGAACAACUUGCUAGGGUUAGGGGGAAUGAAAUUAUUGAAGAUGCUAUUAUUGAUGAUAGUGAUGAUGAAAAUUCUCCCAAUGAUUAUGAAUUGCCUGUUGUUCCUGAUGGUUAUGUUAUGAAUGAAGAAGCUGCUAAAGCUAUCUUUGCUUGCAAUGAUAGAUAUGAUCUUAAGAAAUUAUUUGCUAAAUGGAAGCAGUAG
rnacentral:rRNA from 1 species